rnacentral:rRNA from 1 species
UACGUAGGGGGCAAGCGUUGUCCGGAUUUAUUGGGCGUAAAGAGCGUGUAGGCGGCCUUACAGGUCAGCUGUGAAAACUCGAGGCUCAACCUCGAGACGUCGGUUGAAACCGUAUGGCUAGAGUCCGGAAGAGGAGAGUGGAAUUCCCGGUGUAGCGGUGAAAUGCGCAGAUAUCGGGAGGAACACCGGUGGCGAAGGCGGGUCUCUGGGCAGUAACUGACGCUGAGGAGCGAAAGCGUGGGGAGCGAACAGG